GAGCCUCAGCUGAGACAAUGCCUCCGUAAGAUAGUGCUGUAGGCAAACCUGUGGAGCAUUUUCUUAGGGCUUGAUGCAGAAGGGGCCAGCCCUUUGUGGGUGGUGUCAUCCCUGGGCUGGUGGUCCUGGGUUCUCUGAGCAAGCCGUGGGAGCAAGCCAGUAAGCAGCACCCUUCCAUGGCCUCUGCGUCAGCUCCUGCCUCCAGGUUCCUGCCCUGUGAGAGUUCCUGUUCCCACUCCCCACGAUGAACAAUGAUACCGAAACGCACAGUCUCUUACUGAAUAUGAAGUGCUCCGUUUUGGCUAGCCUGGACGGUCAGUGAACAAGAUGACAAGGAUUCUCCUGCCUCCACACCACCAGUACUGGGGUUACAGACAUGUGCUGUCAUGCCAAGCUUUUGAAUAUGGGUGCCAGAGAUCCAAACUUGGGUCCUCAUAUUUAUGCAGUAAGCAUUUUACCCAUUGACAUGUCAUCCCAGUCAUGACAUCUUCACUUUUAAAAUUAGGUAAAGGACAUAGACAGAAAUUUCUCACAAGAACUCAGAAUUCGUUACUUAAUGUAUGAAGAAAUGCCUCAACAUCACUCAUCAUUAAUGAAAUGGCAAAAAGGGGGAAACACUGUGGAAUAAUCCUUCUGUACCACUGUAAAAAUGUGUUGCUCUCAUUGUUAAUAAAAGACUGAGUGGCCAAUAGCCAGGCAAGAUUUUCAAGGUAGAGAGAAUGCCGGGAAGAAGGGCAGAGUGAGAAGAGUCACGAUCCAGAGGCAGAAGAAGCAACAUGAAAAGUUCAUAGAUGAGGCUAUGAAACUUGUAAUUUGUGAAUGAAGAAUGUGCUGAAAUGUGGAGUAACUGGAAGACUUGGACUAUGUAAAUCUGACCAGGAAACUCUUGGGAUACUGAGUCUGUCCUCCAUGGAAGAAAUUGACCCUAGCAAAUAAAUAUAAACAGAAAGUAGAAACAAAAAAAAGCAAAAUAAAUAAAUAAAUAAAUAAAUAAAUAAAUAAAUAAAUAAAUAAAUAAAAAGUCAGAGUCUUCGUGGAGUCGAAGGAUGGUGUGAGCAAAGCAAGCCUGUUCUGUGUAACUUUCAUUUCAUUACUUGUAAGGGUUCCAUAAAAUCAUCCUCGGUCCCUGUAAGUUAGAUGCCUACGUUCUUCUGACCGCACAACCCUGCUUCGUCUUGGAACAUUCUCUCCAGGUUAGGUGCUCAGACUGUGACCUCUGCAAACCAUAAACUAUAAACUCUCUCCCCUCUCUGAGAUUGCUCAUUGUCUUGUGAGAGAACAAUGACUGUGGAAAAGAAAAGAAAAAAAAUGCGAGCAAACGACUGUGUGCGUCAGGAAAUUACUCAUUUUCAAUCCCCCAGCUGUCAUGCUCCUUAGGGUUACAAUCUCAGCUCUACAUUUCAAAUGUUAUUCUGUGGUCCUAAAAUAUAAGUAGAACAUAGAGAGAAAAUGCCGCUCCCCAAAGCUGAGGACUCAAAUAUGAUUAUCUGGAUAUUCUUUGUGAAUGGACCUCAUCUCUUUCACUUUCCUUGUCCUUCUCUUCUCCUUUCAUUAUUAAUUUUUUUAAGUUUCAAUUUAAAAGCCCUCAUAAACACAGAAACUUCCAUCUUAUUCUUAUUUUCAGAAGUGGUAAUCAUGUUCAUAGUGCUAUGAAACAGAAACCCAUAACAUUUCGUCUACCACGUUGAACGUCUGCGCUCAUUAUAGAGCCACACUCCAUUUCCUCAUGUCUCAGUUACUUCUGCUGCUGUGAGAAAAUGUCCUUCAAAGCCUCAGGAUCCAUCUUGGAUGAGGGAGCAGAAAGAUUAUAAAACCCAGAGGCUAGGAAGGACCAGAGUGAAGCAUUGUUUUCUGGACAUGGCUGGACAGCUGUCCUCAUGAGCCCAGCACCUGUGACUGCCCCAAACCUGCACAUUGUCGCCUGGAGGAAGAAAAAGGCCCAUGAUUUCCCACACACCCCUAAUGGAGGAGCCAUAGACAGCUUGAGGCUGGAGGAGGAAGAGUCAGUUUUCCACAGGGGUGUGGCACCUGGUGGCUUGACUGUGCUUCAGUGGACAGCUUCAUAUCCAGGAGUAUAUGAGUGACACAGAUUAGACUUAACAGGUUAUAAAACAAAUAAAAAUUUUAAAGAGAGGUUUUAAAGUUGGUAGGGGGAUAGAUCUUAGGAAUUAGUGGGAAGUGGUAUGGGGGUGAACAUGAUCAAAAUAUAUUAUAUAAAAUCUCA